rnacentral:rRNA from 1 species
CAGCAGCCGCGGGAAUACGAAGGGGGCUAGCGUUGUUCGGAAUCACUGGGCGUAAAGAGCACGUAGGCGGAUCUUUAAGUCAGGGGUGAAAUCCCGAGGCUCAACCUCGGAACUGCCUUUGAUACUGGGGAUCUCGAGUCCGGGAGAGGUGAGUGGAACUGCGAGUGUAGAGGUGAAAUUCGUAGAUAUUCGCAAGAACACCAGUGGCGAAGGCGGCUCACUGGCCCGGAACUGACGCUGAGGUGCGAAAGCGUGGGGAGCAAACAGGAUUAGAUACCCCGGUAGUCCCUGUCUCUUAUAC